rnacentral:rRNA from 1 species
ACGUGGGUGAUCUGCCCUGCACUUUGGGAUAAGCCUGGGAAACUGGGUCUAAUACCGAAUACACCUCACUGGCUGCAUGGUUGGUGGGGGAAAGCUUUUGCGGUGUGGGAUGGGCCCGCGGCCUAUCAGCUUGUUGGUGGGGUGAUGGCCUACCAAGGCGACUACGGGUAGCCGGCCUGAGAGGGUGACCGGCCACACUGGGACUGAGAUACGGCCCAGACUCCUACGGGAGGCAGCAGUGGGGAAUAUUGCACAAUGGGCGCAAGCCUGAUGCAGCGACGCCGCGUGAGGGGAUGACGG